AGCGGACGCUGGCGGCAGGCCUAACACAUGCAAGUCGAACGAAGUCUUCGGACUUAGUGGCGGACGGGUGAGUAACACGUGGGAACGUGCCUUUAGGUUCGGAAUAACUCAGGGAAACUUGUGCUAAUACCGAAUGUGCCCUUCGGGGGAAAGAUUUAUCGCCUUUAGAGCGGCCCGCGUCUGAUUAGCUAGUUGGUGAGGUAAAGGCUCGCCAAGGCGACGACCAGUAGCUGGUCUGAGAGGAUGAUCAGCCACAUUGGGACUGAGACACGGCCCAAACUCCUACGGGAGGCAGCAGUGGGGAAUCUUGCGCAAUGGGCGAAAGCCUGACGCAGCCAUGCCGCGUGAAUGAUGAAGGUCUUAGGAUUGUAAAAUUCUUUCACCGGGGACGAUAAUGACGGUACCCGGAGAAGAAGCCCCGGCUAACUUCGUGCCAGCAGCCGCAGUAACAC
rnacentral:rRNA from 1 species